CAGCAGCAGGCACAUCUCUGUUAGCAAAAAUGGUAUCUUGAUCCUUAAGAACCUCACGAGCUAAUGCUGGGGAAGUAAUAAUAAUCCCAAGUUUUUUACCAAGCCAGAGUCUACAAAUGGGGCCAUAAGUUUGGGACAGAGAUGCAAAAUAGGUAUGAAGUUCAGGAUCAAGAG